UACGUGUCGGUGCCCCCUCUUUCUUUUCCUAUUGGGGCUGCGACCAUUUAUUCUCUUCUUUGGAUUUGGGUGAGGGGGCCGGCGGUGCUGGCUCCUUCCUUUAGCGGGCGGCGGCGGCGGCUUGUGGGUUCGAUCGUGGGUUCGAUCGCUCCCUCUUUGUCGAGGGGCCAGAUCAUGCGCUGGAAGGGCAAUUGUUCAGUUAUGCCGCUGGAGAUCAUGGCUCUGGUUGGAAGGAAAUAUGUCGUCGAAGUGAGCGCGCCACGAUAUUCCUUUAGGAGAGAUAAGGAUGCCUUGACUUUCUAGGUUCGCAAGUUCUUCCCAGUGGGUGGAUCUAUGUAUUAUGAUUUCGUUGCAGGCAGCAGUUCUUCCUGUACCGGUGCUGCAGCGGAAUUGCCUGCUCAUCUUGAUGGAGUGGCUGCUGAAGCUUCUGGCGCUGCUAGCCAGCGCCAUGAGCUCCCUGAAGGUGUCUUUACGCCAGCAAAGGAUGUGUUGGUGACUUUCCCUUCAUUACCUUUUGAACUGUGUCCACGCCAGAUUUCCAGUUCGUCUGAAGCACUGCUCUUAUACAUAUGUUGUUAUUACAGGAAACCUAGACGCAGAAUGAACAUGUUGAUGAUACAUCAGAGUGAGUGAAGGAGGAUGAUCCACCAAAGAAUAAUAAAAUGUCUAGCUUAGAUAAUUUAGCAUUUCUUAAUCUGUGAGUGGCCUUGUUAUAAUGCUCUGGAGAUGUACUGCGUUACACCAGGGCCGGUGCAGCUGCUGUAAAAUCCACAGUUGAAAAGAAGUUGGCUGUAAGUGGGUCGGAAAAGGGUGGUCGUGUGUACGUGUGGAAUUCAUCGGAAUUCGUUGUCCUUAUUUGUAAUAGGAAGAAAGGAUUUACAAUGUU